GACGAACGCUGGCGGCGUGCUUAACACAUGCAAGUCGAACGGAAAGGCCCUGCUUUUGUGGGGUGCUCGAGUGGCGAACGGGUGAGUAACACGUGAGUAACCUGCCCUUGACUUUGGGAUAACUUCAGGAAACUGGGGCUAAUACCGGAUAGGAGCUCCUGCUGCAUGGUGGGGGUUGGAAAGUUUCGGCGGUUGGGGAUGGACUCGCGGCUUAUCAGCUUGUUGGUGGGGUAGUGGCUUACCAAGGCUUUGACGGGUAGCCGGCCCGAGAGGGUGACCGGCCACAUUGGGACUGAGAUACGGCCCAGACUCCUACGGGAGGCAGCAGUGGGGAAUAUUGCACAAUGGGCGGAAGCCUGAUGCAGCAACACCGCGUGCGGGAUGACGGCCUUCGGGUUGUAAACCGCUUUCGCCUGUGACGAAGCGUGAGUGACGGUAAUGGGUAAAGAAGCACCGGCUAACUACGUG
rnacentral:rRNA from 1 species